rnacentral:rRNA from 1 species
CACGCCGUAAACGAUGGAUGCUAGCCGUUGGCAAGCUUGCUUGUCGGUGGCGCAGCUAACGCAUUAAGCAUCCCGCCUGGGGAGUACGGCCGCAAGGUUAAAACUCAAAGGAAUUGACGGGGGCCCGCACAAGCGGUGGAGCAUGUGGUUUAAUUCGACGCAACGCGAAGAACCUUACCAAGCCUUGACAUGUCCGGUCGGUUUCCAGAAAUGGAUUCCUCCUAGCAAUAGGUCGGAACACAGGUGC